rnacentral:rRNA from 1 species
GACGAACGCUGGCGGCGUGCCUAACACAUGCAAGUCGAACGGGGCAGCAAUGCCCAGUGGCGAACGGGUGCGUAACACGUGAGGAACUUGUCCAUCGGCGGGGGAUAGCCGGCCCAACGGCCGGGUAAUACCGCGUACGUCGGCGAGACCGCAUGGUCUUGCCGGGAAAGCAGCAAUGCACCGAUGGAGAGCCUCGCGGCCUAUCAGCUAGUUGGUGAGGUAAUGGCUCACCAAGGCGACGACGGGUAGCUGGUCUGAGAGGAUGAUCAGCCACAUUGGGACUGAGACACGGCCCAGACUCCUACGGGAGGCAGCAGUGGGGAAUAGUUGCGCAAUGGGCGAAAGCCUGACGCAGCGACGCCGCGUGUGGGAUGACGGCCUCGGUGUAACGACUAGUCGCGAGGGACGAA